rnacentral:tRNA from 1 species
GCCGGGGUGGCGGAAUUGGCAGACGCAACGGACUUAAAAUCCGUCGGAGAAAUCCUUGAGGGUUCGAGUCCCUCCCCCGGCACCA